rnacentral:lncRNA from 1 species
CGGUGUUCUGCAUCUAACAUGCUCUCCAUCUCCUCGUAGGAUCUCUUCUUGCUUCUCAGUCUGCUAGCAUCUUCUCCUUGCACUUCCCUGAGUUGAUGGGCCAAGUGCAGCUUAUCAGCUUUGGCUUUGUACAGCUCCAUAUGGGUAUCUUGCUCCUUCUCCCUCAAACGACGAUUCUCCAUCAGGGCUUGCUUGUAGUGCUC